rnacentral:tRNA from 1 species
GCCGGGAUGGCGGAAUCGGUAGACGCGAUGGAUUCAAAACCCAUUGCCGCAAGGCGUGAGAGUUCGAGUCUCUCUCCCGGCA